CGACAAUUAAACACAAUAAUUAUAAUAACAAUAUUCUUAUAAUGCCGAAAUACCCGUUAAUUAUCGGUGUUCGAGUACAAUAACAUUAUUGUGCCUCUACGGUCGAUGGGACGGUUCUUUUUUACUCAAAGAAACGUGUUCGUAAGGUGCAACGGGACGAGUUAUACACAAUGGCAUGGCAUAGGAAUAUUAUGCAGACUAGCAGCUAUAUAAGAAAUUGACAGGUUUCUAUAAAAUUAUAUUCAAGUGAACGACUAGAACGACUACAACAACGAUUAUUUUGACUGAACUCGUAAUACAAUACUACAAUGGUUUCCUUUUCGACGCAGC